CUCAUCCUACGGGGGGCAGCAGUGAGGAAUAUUGGUCAAUGGGCGAGAGCCUGAACCAGCCAAGUCGCGUGAGGGAGUACUGCCCUAUGGGUUGUAAACCUCUUUUGUCGGGGAGCAAAAGCCGGACGUGUCCGGCUGUGAGAGUACCCGAAGAAAAAGCAUCGGCUAACUCCGUGCCAGCAGCCGCGGUAAUACGGAGGAUGCGAGCGUUAUCCGGAUUUAUUGGGUUUAAAGGGUGCGUAGGCGGGACGGUAAGUCAGAUGUGAAAACUCAGGGCUCAACCCUGAGCCUGCAUUUGAAACUGG
rnacentral:rRNA from 1 species